rnacentral:lncRNA from 1 species
CGGGUAAGCUGAGAGUGCCUCCAAGUACAGAAGAUAAUCAAGACAUCAUCAGUAUUCGGGCUGUACUGGAAGACAUACUUGUUUCCGAAAAAACACAGACACUUGAAGUUGCUUUGACUGUGAACAUGGACUCACCGGUGAAUUACACUCAAUGCUUGAAAGAUUACAAAUUCUGGACCCGA